GUCAUCUCCUGCCGGAGCGAUUCGGUGAAGGGCGAGGCUUGUUAGUUCAAGCCUGAUUGACCAGCCUGAGCUGCGAGAGGUAUCGCAGCUACGUUGUACGGAAGUUAAAGACUCAUCCUGGAAUGCUUCCUCAGUUCCAGGCUCUGAAACCUGCAGUGGGCAGCGACAAUCAUCUUGUCCGGCGUGACAGGUACGGCCCAGCAGAAGCAACUGCCGUUUAGUCGGCG
rnacentral:sRNA from 1 species